rnacentral:rRNA from 1 species
GGUUAAGCGACUAAGCGUACACGGUGGAUGCCCUGGCAGUCAGAGGCGAUGAAGGACGUGCUAAUCUGCGAAAAGCGUCGGUAAGGUGAUAUGAACCGUUACAGCCGGCGAUGUCCGAAUGGGGAAACCCAGUGCAAUUCGUUGCACUAUCGUUAACUGAAUACAUAGGUUAACGAGGCGAACCGGGGGAACUGAAACAUCUAAGUACCCCGAGGAAAAGAAAUCAACCGAGAUUCCCCCAGUAGCGGCGAGCGAACGGGGAGCAGCCCAGAGUCUGAAUCAGCUUGUGUGUUAGUGGAACGGUCUGGAAAGUCCGACGGUACAGGGUGAUAGUCCCGUACACCAAAAUGCACAGGUUGUGAACUCGAAGAGUAGGGCGGGACACGUGGUAUCCUGUCUGAAUAUGGGGGGACCAUCCUCCAAGGCUAAAUACUCCUGACUGACCGAUAGUGAACCAGUACCGUGAGGGAAAGGCGAAAAGAACCCCGGCGAGGGGAGUGAAAAAGAACCUGAAACCGUGUACGUACAAGCAGUGGGAGCACCUUCGGGUGUGACUGCGUACCUUUUGUAUAAUGGGUCAGCGACUUAUAUUCUGUAGCAAGGUUAACCGUAUAGGGGAGCCGCAGGGAAACCGAGUCUUAACUGGGCGUUAAGUUGCAGGGUAUAGACCCGAAACCCGGUGAUCUAGCCAUGGGCAGGUUGAAGGUUGGGUAACACUAACUGGAGGACCGAACCGACUAAUGUUGAAAAAUUAGCGGAUGACUUGUGGCUGGGGGUGAAAGGCCAAUCAAACCGGGAGAUAGCUGGUUCUCCCCGAAAGCUAUUUAGGUAGCGCCUCGUGAACUCAUCUUCGGGGGUAGAGCACUGUUUCGGCUAGGGGGUCAUCCCGACUUACCAACCCGAUGCAAACUACGAAUACCGAAGAAUGUUAUCACGGGAGACACACGGCGGGUGCUAACGUCCGUCGUGAAGAGGGAAACAACCCAGACCGCCAGCUAAGGUCCCAAAGUCAUGGUUAAGUGGGAAACGAUGUGGGAAGGCACAGACAGCCAGGAUGUUGGCUUAGAAGCAGCCAUCAUUUAAAGAAAGCGUAAUAGCUCACUGGUCGAGUCGGCCUGCGCGGAAGAUGUAACGGGGCUAAACCAUGCACCGAAGCUGCGGCAGCGACACUAUGUGUUGUUGGGUAGGGGAGCGUUCUGUAAGCCUGCGAAGGUGUGCUGUGAGGCAUGCUGGAGGUUGUUGUGGUCAAGUUUUUUUGGACACGCCGAUCAGAUGGUAGGGUUAUGCACAGGCGGGCAACUGGGCGGCAGGGCUGGCCAGCGUUUCGUACUGUGCGGGUGAUCGGUAGCCAAGUUUUGAAUGCAAUCGGGUACUGUUAUAAAAGUUAACGAUGUAGUCGGUGAUGUCUUGUUUGGCUUCUGUAUGGUUGGCAUACCGAGUCUGCCAGACACGCUCCAUUUUCAAAUUCAGAAAGAACCGCUCCAUCACGGCAUUGUCCCAGCAAUUACCCUUGCGGCUCAUGCUGAGUACCAGACCAUGGUUUUCAAGUAAUUGCCGGUGUUCAGCACUGGCAUAUUGACUGCCCCGGUCCGAAUGAACCAAUAAACCCGGUGCCGGUUGGCGAACCGAAAUAGCCAUGCUCAACGCAUCGCACACCAGCUGUGCAGGCAUGGUCGGUGCCAUGGACCAACCCACGAUGCGACGUGAAUACAGAUCCAGCACAGCGGCCAGAUAUAGCCAACCGCUGUCGGUCCGAAUGUACGUCACAUCGCACACCCAGGCCGUAUUGGGUGCUUCAGGCUCAAACUGACGGUUGAGCACGUUCUCUGCCACCGGCAAAUGGUGUUUGCUAUCGGUGGUAUGAGCGAACUUGCGACGCCAACAGGCCUUGAGUCCACAGGCUUUCAUCAAGGUACGACAGCGAUGACGUCCAACAUCAUGGCCCUGGGCACGCAGGGCUGCACUCAAACGACGACUGCCAUAGGUGCGACCACUGGCAAGAAAAACCGCCUGAGCAUGCACGCUGUCCUGGCAAAUAGGUUUGGGUGUAUUGACUCUGCGACGCGCUGCGUAGUAACCAGAGCGACUGAUGUCCAACGCCUGACAGACCUGCUUGAUCGGGGCCUGCUUCGCUAACUCAGUGACAACAUCGUGGAUCACUUUAUUUCCCGUGCGAAGAAGGCCGAAGCUUUUUUUAAUAAUUCAUUGUCUGAUUUUAGUCGCCUGACUUCGGCUUCCAGUUCUCGAAUACGUUGCUGCUCAGCCGUUAACGGUUUACCAAUCCCCGGCCUGCCGGCUGACUCGUCAUCCAGUUGGUGUACCCAGCGUCGGACCACACUUUCGGUCAGCUUCAUUUCGCGGCAGACUUGGCUGACGCUGACGCCUUGCUCGCGCACCAUGCGCGCCACCUGUAACUUGAACGCUGGAUCAAAGGUUCGGCGAUUCUUGGUUGUGUCGGUUGUCUUGUCGGUCAUCUCUUCAUGUUCCUUGUCGGGGGGAAAACACCCGAUCAAAGUGUCCAUUUAAAUUUGACCACAACAGGUAUCAGAAGUGCGAAUGCUGACAUAAGUAACGAUAAAGCGGGUGAAAAGCCCGCUCGCCGGAAGACCAAGGGUUCCUGUCCAACGUUAAUCGGGGCAGGGUGAGUCGACCCCUAAGGCGAGGCCGAAAGGCGUAGUCGAUGGGAAACAGGUUAAUAUUCCUGUACUUGGUGUUACUGCGAAGGGGGGACGGAGAAGGCUAUGUUAGCCGGGCGACGGUUGUCCCGGUUUAAGCAUGUAGGCUGGUUAUCCAGGCAAAUCCGGAUAAUCAAGGCUGAGGUGUGAUGACGAGGCACUACGGUGCUGAAGUAACAAAUGCCCUGCUUCCAGGAAAAGCCUCUAAGCAUCAGGUAACAUCAAAUCGUACCCCAAACCGACACAGGUGGUCAGGUAGAGAAUACCAAGGCGCUUGAGAGAACUCGGGUGAAGGAACUAGGCAAAAUGGUGCCGUAACUUCGGGAGAAGGCACGCUGGUGUGUAGGUGAAGUCCCUGCGGAUGGAGCUGAGACCAGUCGAAGAUACCAGCUGGCUGCAACUGUUUAUUAAAAACACAGCACUGUGCAAACACGAAAGUGGACGUAUACGGUGUGACGCCUGCCCGGUGCCGGAAGGUUAAUUGAUGGGGUUAUCCGUAAGGAGAAGCUCUUGAUCGAAGCCCCGGUAAACGGCGGCCGUAACUAUAACGGUCCUAAGGUAGCGAAAUUCCUUGUCGGGUAAGUUCCGACCUGCACGAAUGGCGUAAUGAUGGCCAGGCUGUCUCCACCCGAGACUCAGUGAAAUUGAACUCGCUGUGAAGAUGCAGUGUACCCGCGGCAAGACGGAAAGACCCCGUGAACCUUUACUAUAGCUUGACACUGAACAUUGAGCCUUGAUGUGUAGGAUAGGUGGGAGGCUUUGAAGCGUGGACGCCAGUCUGCGUGGAGCCAACCUUGAAAUACCACCCUUUAAUGUUUGAUGUUCUAACGUUGGCCCCUGACCGGGGUUGCGGACAGUGUCUGGUGGGUAGUUUGACUGGGGCGGUCUCCUCCCAAAGCGUAACGGAGGAGCACGAAGGUUAGCUAAUCCUGGUCGGACAUCAGGAGGUUAGUGCAAUGGCAUAAGCUAGCUUGACUGCGAGCGUGACGGCGCGAGCAGGUGCGAAAGCAGGUCAUAGUGAUCCGGUGGUUCUGAAUGGAAGGGCCAUCGCUCAACGGAUAAAAGGUACUCCGGGGAUAACAGGCUGAUACCGCCCAAGAGUUCAUAUCGACGGCGGUGUUUGGCACCUCGAUGUCGGCUCAUCACAUCCUGGGGCUGAAGUAGGUCCCAAGGGUAUGGCUGUUCGCCAUUUAAAGUGGUACGCGAGCUGGGUUUAGAACGUCGUGAGACAGUUCGGUCCCUAUCUGCCGUGGGCGCUGGAGAAUUGAGGGGGGCUGCUCCUAGUACGAGAGGACCGGAGUGGACGCAUCACUGGUGUUCGGGUUGUCAUGCCAAUGGCACUGCCCGGUAGCUAAAUGCGGAAGAGAUAAGUGCUGAAAGCAUCUAAGCACGAAACUUGCCCCGAGAUGAGUUCUCCCUGAGACUAUAAGUCUCCUGAAGGAACGUUAAAGACGAUGACGUUGAUAGGCCGGGUGUGUAAGCGCAGCGAUGCGUUGAGCUAACCGGUACUAAUGAACCGUGAGGCUUAACCUU